rnacentral:rRNA from 1 species
CUGUCUUUAUUUAAUUAUUAGUUUAAUUUAAUUUUUAAGUUAAAAAGCUUAAAUUUUUAUAAAGGACGAGAAGACCCUAUAGAGUUUUAUAAAUUUUAUUUUGUAAAUAAAUUUAAAAAUUUUAUUUAUUAAAUGAUUUAUUUUAUUGGGGCGAUAAUAAAAUUUGAAUAACUUUUUAAAUUUAUUUACAAAAAUUAUUGAAUUAUUGAUCCUAUUUUUUAGAUUAUUAGAAUAAAUUACCUUAGGGA